rnacentral:tRNA from 1 species
GCCUUCGUAGUGUAGUGAUUAGCACUGUCGGAGCAUAUCCGGAAGGUCCGAGGUUCGAAUCCCGGCAAGAGCA